UAAUUUCAAAUUUUAUUUUAGAUUCUGGGGUACAUGUGCAGGUAAUGUGCAUAGUACCCAAGAAGUUUUUCAAUUCUUGUCCCCCUCCCUUCCUCCCACCUCUUGUGGUCCCCAGUGUCUGUUGUUGCCAUCUUUAUGUCCAUGAGUUCUAAUGUUAACUCCCACUUAUAAGUGAGAACAUGUGGCAUUUGGUUUUCUGAUUCUGCAUUAAUUUGCUUAAGAUGAUGGCCUCCAGCUGCAUCCAUAAUGCUGCAAAGGAUGUGAUUUUGUACUUUUUAAAUGGCUGCAUAGUAUUCCAUAGUGUAUAUGGACCACAUUUUCUUUAUUUAAUCCACCAUUGAUGGGUACAUAGGUUGAUUUCAUGUUUUUGCUAUUGUGAAUAGUGCUGUGAUGAACAUGAGUGCAUGUUUCUUUUUGGUAGAAUGAUUUAUAUUCCUUUGGCUACAUACUCAGUAAUAGAAUUGCUGGGUCAAACAGUACUGUUCUUUGAAAAAUAUUUAAACUGCUUUCCACAGUGGCUAAACUGCUUUACAUUCCCAC
rnacentral:lncRNA from 1 species